GCAGCUGGUACCUGGGAUCGGGCAGGACGGUCCUCUUGCUGGCGCGGGCGGCCGGAGUCGCCUUGCUCUUCUCCAUGGCCAUCAGGUAAUGAUGAAGCCCCUGCUCUGGUCCAAGCUACCUGUGAACAGCGCCCAGCGGGCCGGGCCCCCAACCUCGCUCCUGAACGUACCCGCAAGCCCGCCGUGAGAAUUCAGCGAAGAGUAAAGGCUGGAGAAAGUUGCGUGUCUCAGGCUAAGCAGAGCAAAGUGGGGUGAGGGCUUCGCCGCUAGGAACAGAGAUGCCCUUAGGGAGCCCCCUGAUGGAAGAGCUCUCUGCUUAAGAAGGAAAAGUGGAAAUGAGGCCUUUUACCCCAGGGUUGUUGAGAAGACAGGGGAGAAAAAGCACAUAAAAAUGCACCUUGUCGGGCGCAGUGGCUCACACCUGUAAUCCUGCACUUUGGGAGUCUGAGGCAGGUGGAUCGCUUGAGGCCAGGAGUUCAAGACCAGCCUGGCCAACAUGAAAAAUACAUUAAAAAUAAUGUCUCUAUUAAAAAUACAAAAAUUAGCCAGGCAUGGUGGUGCACGCCUGUAACCCAGCUACUCAGGAGGCUGAGGCACAAGAAUCGCUUGAACCCAGGAAGUAGAAGCUACAGUGAGUCGAGAUUGCACCACUGCACGCCAGCCUGGGUGAAAGAGUGAGACCCUGUCUGAAAAAAAAAAAAAAAAAAAAGCAUUUUGCCUGGCACCCAGUAGAUCCUCAAUAAAGGUCAUGUCACUUC
rnacentral:lncRNA from 1 species